rnacentral:rRNA from 1 species
GACGAACGCUGGCGGCGUGCCUAAUACAUGCAAGUUGAGCGCUGAAGGUUGGUACUUGUACCAACUGGAUGAGCAGCGAACGGGUGAGUAACGCGUGGGGAAUCUGCCUUUGAGCGGGGGACAACAUUUGGAAACGAAUGCUAAUACCGCAUAAAAACUUUAAACACAAGUUUUAAGUUUGAAAGAUGCAAUUGCAUCACUCAAAGAUGAUCCCGCGUUGUAUUAGCUAGUUGGUGAGGUAAAGGCUCACCAAGGCGAUGAUACAUAGCCGACCUGAGAGGGUGAUCGGCCACAUUGGGACUGAGACACAGCCCAAACCCCUACGGGAGGCAGCAGUAGGGAAUCUUCGGCAAUGGACGAAAGUCUGACCGAGCAACGCCGCGUGAGUGAAGAAGGUUUUCGGAUCGUAAAACUCUGUUGGUAGAGAAGAACGUUGGUGAGAGUGGAAAGCUCAUCAAGUGACGGUAACUACCCAGAAAGGGACGGCUAACUACGUG